UACGUAGGGGGCAAGCGUUGUCCGGAAUUAUUGGGCGUAAAGAGCGCGUAGGCGGUCCGUUAAGUCGGCUGUGAAAGUCAGGGGCUCAACCCUUGGAAGCCGGCCGAUACUGUCGGACUAGAGUCCGGAAGAGGCGAGUGGAAUUCCCGGUGUAGCGGUGAAAUGCGCAGAUAUCGGGAGGAACACCAAUGGCGAAGGCAGCUCGCUGGGACGGUACUGACGCUGAGGCGCGAAAGCGUGGGGAGCAAACAGG
rnacentral:rRNA from 1 species